GCAACUCUAGGACGAUCACCGUCCAUUGUAAAGACGAGGAGGCAAAAGCCAGAGAGUGCCAGGCACUAGAGGACUGGGACUAAGAGCGGAGGGCUCUGGAGUCAGCUCCGCCUCCAUGUGACCUAGGGCCGGUGACCUCUCCUCCAAAGACUCAGCCUCCGCACCUGCAGUGAGGGAUACCCACAAAACCCACUCCACGGGGUGCAGCGAGGGGAUGGAAGCAGAAACAUGGACUCACUGGCCAAUUGAGCAUUUUAAAGGGAAGACAGUGGCAGAAGGAGACUUCGCAAAAUCCACAGGCCAAUGAACCCCCUUCCUGCAAAGCCCAGAUUCUCCUGGGAAGAAGAUUAUAAAAGGAAUCACUGCAAAGACAAGAGACACGAAAUACACAGAAGUACAAAAGAAACCCAAAGAGAAGAAAAGAAGAAGAUGAGAGGUAACAGAACAGUGGAGAAGCACGGAGCACCCUCGCCCUGUCACGCCGGGAGCCCGCCUG